UCUCCAUGCCUUUUUGUCCUGUAUGAUUCUGGACCAUGUCUUUUCCUAUACCCAACCCAGAGGAUCAAACUAAUGCAUUUGCAGGUCUAGACAACAAAACAAUACAUCAAGCCCUGGUUUGUAGGCUUGCUGAUUCCAAGGGAUAAAUGCUCAUGCUGACAAUAUAAACCUUGGCUCUCAGGAUCUGGUUUGAGCUGGCUCUAGAGCACCCCUGUCAUGAUGGAAUAAGAUUUGGAUUUUUGGACCGCGACUUUACAUACAGGUGUAAGGGAUGUCUCCCUAGAGAAAGCUUGGAACCACAAGUGUCCCUUAUGGAAGAUGGAAAUCAAAAGAACAAUCUCCUCUAUCCCAAGUUCUUGUUGUUGAGGUUUAGGGCUGCUCAGCACCCGAAAAUACCAACAUGCCAGGACCUGCCCAAAUGAAUUUUAUCCAAGCCU